rnacentral:lncRNA from 1 species
UAAUGGUUGGGAAGUGACAUUAAAAAAUAAUUACUUAUAUUUGUUAGAAACUUGGUUAGGUUAGUUUGAAUUAAGUCACUAUGAGAUACUUUUGGCAGUGGCUCCUUUUAGAGCUGCUCACAGAUUAUCCAGUACCUAUGGUGGGAUCAACUGGAAGGUUGAAGGUAGGGUUUAACGAGCCUGGCUUCCUAAGAAAUGAUAUAUGGGAUUCAGAAUUGAACACAGGAUCCUUCAUUUGUUCCAUGCAGCCAACAUUAGAAACUUGGACCCAGGAAAAUAACUUAAACAUUCCAUCUUUGUUUUUACAUUGUGUUUUCUUUAAUUUUAUCUAUAUAAAGUUCUGGUAGGCACAAAAUACACACCUUUUUUUAAUG